UAUACCACCGAGUUGCGGUCUGUGCCCCAUCCUUCAUGUCGUCUUCUUCGUUGUUUUCAUCUGGAAUGGUAUUUAUCUGUUACCACACAAUAUUUUCUUAUAAUCAUAAGUGUACGCUUAGGAAAAAGGAACCUUCGACAACCCAAAUACACCUCUUCACAUCCUGUUUUCAAUUAGAACAGAUGCUCCCCUGCAUCACUGCCUCAUUAUCUUCCGUUACAACACAAUCCUCCCUAACAUGUGCGGUCUUCGAUUUAUCCUUCAUUCAAGGUUCUCUUUCAAACCUCUGUCAUUGUACGGCUUGAAAUCAAAUUGACUUCUGCAGCAAUCGUUUAUCAUUUGGAUCACAAUUAUCCUGAGAAUGGUCAUCAAUAAUUCUUCUAUGGUCUGCAAUUGUACAUUCAAGUAAUAAUCCUCCAACACAACUAUAAAAUAUUGCAAUGUGCGCCACCGGCGAAAUAAAGCAGGUUGUCCACUUCCAAAAUUUGGUGAGUGGGAUGUCAGUGACCCAACUUCAGCUGAGGAGUUUUCGAUCAUAUUUAACAAAGCUAAAAACGGAAAGAGGUCAGGUGGCAAGUCAUGUUCGCCAACAAAGAGUAACUACAAGCAUUCAACAACUCUUGGAAAGCCUUAACUAGCUUAUAUGAAAGGUUAAAAUUGAGGUCAAGUAUGAAAUGUUAUAUACUGCCGCAAAGUGAGGAAUGCAGCUACCAUGUUAAAGUUGAAAUGGUUGAAGAACAUGCAUAAUUCAUUGUUUUGUAUAAGGAACCUCAAACACUUCUCAUUUGCAGUAAUUUAUCCUCUCCUAA